rnacentral:rRNA from 1 species
UAGGGAAUCUUCCACAAUGGACGCAAGUCUGAUGGAGCAACGCCGCGUGAGUGAAGAAGGCUUUCGGGUCGUAAAACUCUGUUAUUGAAGAAGAACGUGUGUGACAGUAACUGGUCAUGCAGUGACGGUAUUCAAUCAGAAAGUCACGGCUAACUACGUGCCAGCAGCCGCGGUAAUACGUAGGUGGCAAGCGUUGUCCGGAUUUAUUGGGCGUAAAGCGAGUGCAGGCGGUCUUUUAAGUCUGAUGUGAAAGCCUUCGGCUUAACCGAAGAAGGGGCA